rnacentral:rRNA from 1 species
UACGAAGGGGGCUAGCGUUGCUCGGAAUCACUGGGCGUAAAGGGUGCGUAGGCGGGUCUUUAAGUCAGGGGGGAAAGCCCACGGCUCAACCGUGGAAGUGCCUUUGAUACUGGCGGCCUUGAGGGAGGUAGGGGCGUGCGGAACUUCCGGUGGAGCGGUGAAAUGCGCAGAUAUCGGAAGGAACACCGGUGGCGAAAGCGGCGCGCUGGACCUCUUCUGACGCUGAGGCGCGAAAGCCAGGGGGGCAAACGGG